UACGGGGGGGGGCAAGCGUUGUUCGGAAUUACUGGGCGUAAAGGGCUCGUAGGCGGCCAACUAAGUCAUACGUGAAAUCCCUCGGCUUAACCGGGGAACUGCGUCUGAUACUGGAUGGCUUGAGUUCGGGAGAGGGAUGCGGAAUUCCAGGUGUAGCGGUGAAAUGCGUAGAUAUCAGGAGGAACACCGGUGGCGAAGGCGGGAUCUCUGGGCCGAUACUGACGUGAGGAGCGAAAGCGUGGGGAGCGAACAGG
rnacentral:rRNA from 1 species